AGGGUCUUCCCAGUUGAUGAACCCACCCUGAAUCCUGAGGGCAGGAGAGCCCUUUUAAUGAGGUCCAGUGGUUCUGGGACUUGGGCUUACAUCAGAAUCACCUGCAGACCAGAAAGAGGACUUCUCAGAAUCCUGACUCUGAAUUUGGCCUCAACAUCUGUUUUCUGCAGCUUCUCUCAAGCUCAGAGUUUUCUUAUGCCAGCCUCAAACUGUGCAGAUUCUGACCCUGGGACAUGUUCUUCCCUGUAAGAGCAUCGCUUUGAGCCUGAGGUGUGGACACUGUCUUUGAUUCUUAAGCAUUUAAAAAAUUUUUAUUGGAGUAUAUAGUACUUGAUUUACAAUGUUGUGUUUGUUUCAGGUAUACUUGAUCUUUUAUUUUUUAUUUAUAUUUUGUCCAAAUUUAUGACCCAAAUACUUCAGAAAUUUUUCUUUUGAAGAAAGUAAUUCUCAGUAUGGAUAUUUUCUUUUUUAAAUCUCGAAAUGGUUAAACAAAUGCCUA